rnacentral:misc_RNA from 1 species
GAUGAAGAACGUAGCGAAAUGCGAUAAGUAAUGUGAAUUGCAGAAUUCAGUGAAUCAUCGAAUCUUUGAACGCACAUUGCGCCCGCCAGUAUUCUGGCGGGCAUGCCUGUCCGAGCGUCAUUUCAACCCUCGAACCCCUCCGGGGGGUCGGCGUUGGGGAUCGGGAACCCCUAAGACGGGAUCCCGGCCCCGAAAUACAGUGGCGGUCUCGCCGCAGCCUCUCCUGCGCAGUAGUUUGCACAACUCGCACCGGGAGCGCGGCGCGUCCACGUCCGUAAAACACCCAACUUCUGAAAUGUUGACCUCGGAUCAGGUAGGAAUACCCGCUGAACUUAAGCAUAUCAAUAAGCGGAGG